rnacentral:rRNA from 1 species
AUUGAACGCUGGCGGCAGGCCUAACACAUGCAAGUCGAACGAGUGGCGGACGGGUGAGUAAUGUCUGGGAAACUGCCUGUUGGAGGGGGAUAACUACUGGAAACGGUAGCUAAUACCGCAUACCAUCGGAUGUGCCCAGAUGGGAUUAGCUAGUAGGUGGGGUAACGGCUCACCUAGGCGACGAUCCCUAGCUGGUCUGAGAGGAUGACCAGUCACACUGGAACUGAGCCACGUGCCAGACUCCUACGGUAGGAAGCAGUGGGGAAUAUUGCACAAUGGGCGAACGCCUGAUGCAGCCAUGCCGCGUGUAUGAAGAAGGCCUUCGGGUUGUAAAGUACUUUCAGCGGGGAUGCGUUACCCGCAGAAGAAGCACCGGCUAACUCCGUGCCAGCAGCCGCGGUAAUAC